rnacentral:hammerhead_ribozyme from 1 species
UAGCGAAACGCCCGUUCGCGGGCGUCUGUCAGGCGUGGCGGCCUGGCACUGAUGAGCAGCUAAUA